rnacentral:rRNA from 1 species
GACGAACGCUGGCGGCGUGCUUAACACAUGCAAGUCGAACGCUGAAGCCUGGAGCUUGCUCUGGGUGGAUGAGUGGCGAACGGGUGAGUAACACGUGAGUAACCUGCCCCUGACUCUGGGAUAAGCGCUGGAAACGGCGUCUAAUACUGGAUACGACCCAUAGAGGCAUCUCUUGUGGGUGGAAAGAAUUUCGGUUGGGGAUGGACUCGCGGCCUAUCAGCUUGUUGGUGAGGUAAUGGCUCACCAAGGCGACGACGGGUAGCCGGCCUGAGAGGGUGACCGGCCACACUGGGACUGAGACACGGCCCAGACUCCUACGGGAGGCAGCAGUGGGGAAUAUUGCACAAUGGGCGCAAGCCUGAUGCAGCAACGCCGCGUGAGGGAUGACGGCCUUCGGGUUGUAAACCUCUUUUAGUAGGGAAGAAGCGUAAGUGACGGUACCUGCAGAAAAAGCACCGGCUAACUACGUGCCAGCAGCCGCGGUAAUACGUAGGGUGCAAGCGUUGUCCGGAAUUAUUGGGCGUAAAGAGCUCGUAGGCGGCUUGUCGCGUCUGCUGUGAAAUCCCGGGGCUCAACUCCGGGCCUGCAGUGGGUACGGGCAGGCUAGAGUGCGGUAGGGGAGAUUGGAAUUCCUGGUGUAGCGGUGGAAUGCGCAGAUAUCAGGAGGAACACCGAUGGCGAAGGCAGAUCUCUGGGCCGCUACUGACGCUGAGGAGCGAAAGCAUGGGGAGCGAACAGGAUUAGAUACCCUGGUAGUCCAUGCCGUAAACGUUGGGAACUAGAUGUAGGGCCUGUUCCACGGGUUCUGUGUCGUAGCUAACGCAUUAAGUUCCCCGCCUGGGGAGUACGGCCGCAAGGCUAAAACUCAAAGGAAUUGACGGGGGCCCGCACAAGCGGCGGAGCAUGCGGAUUAAUUCGAUGCAACGCGAAGAACCUUACCAAGGCUUGACAUAUUCGAGAACGCCCCAGAGAUGGGGAACUCUUUGGACACUCGUUUACAGGUGGUGCAUGGUUGUCGUCAGCUCGUGUCGUGAGAUGUUCGGUUAAGUCCGGCAACGAGCGCAACCCUCGUCCUAUGUUGCCAGCGGUUCGGCCGGGAACUCAUGGGAUACUGCCGUGGUCAACACGGAGGAAGGUGGGGAUGACGUCAAAUCAUCAUGCCCCUUAUGUCUUGGGCUUCACGCAUGCUACAAUGGCCGGUACAAUGGGUUGCGAUACCGUGAGGUGGAGCGAAUCCCAAAAAGCCGGUCUCAGUUCGGAUUGGGGUCUGCAACUCGACCCCAUGAAGUCGGAGUCGCUAGUAAUCGCAGAUCAGCAACGCUGCGGUGAAUACGUUCCCGGGCCUUGUACACACCGCC